rnacentral:rRNA from 1 species
GACGAACGCUGGCGGCGUGCUUAACACAUGCAAGUCGAACGGAAAGGCCCUGCUUUUGUGGGGUGCUCGAGUGGCGAACGGGUGAGUAACACGUGAGUAACCUGCUCUUGACUUUGGGAUAACUUCAGGUAACUGGGGCUAAUAUCGGAUAGGAGCUCCUGCUGCAUGGUGGGGGUUGGAAAGUCUCGGCGGUUGGGGAUGGAUUCGCGGCUUAUCAGCUUGUUGGUGGGGUAGUGGCUUACCAAGGCUUUGACGGGUAGCCGGCCUGAGAGGGUGACCGGCCACAUUGGGACUGAGAUACGGCCGCGACGCGUACGUGGGGCAGCAGUGGGGAAUAUUGCACAAUGGGCGGGAGCCUGAUGCAGCAACGCCGCGUGCGGGAUGACGGCCUUCGGGUUGUAAACCGCUUUCGCCUGUGACGAAGCGUGAGUGACGGUAAUGGGUAAAGAAGCACCGGCUAACUACGUG